AGAACGAACGCUGGCGGCAUGCCUAACACAUGCAAGUCGAACGAAGCCUUCGGGCUUAGUGGCGCACGGGUGCGUAACGCGUGGGAACCUGCCUUUAGGUUCGGAAUAACUCUCCGAAAGGGGUGCUAAUACCGAAUAAUGUCUUCGGACCAAAGAUUUAUCGCCUUUAGAUGGGCCCGCGUUGGAUUAGCUAGUUGGUGGGGUAAAGCCUACCAGGCGACGAUCCAUAGCUGGUCUUAGAGGAUGAUCAGCCACACUGGGACUGAGACACGGCCCAGACUCCUACGGGAGGCAGCAGGUGGGAAUAUUGGACAGUGGGACGAAAGCCUGACUCCAGCAAUGCCGCGGUGAGUGAUAGGAACGGUCCGUUAGGGUUAGUAAACGUCUUACCGUUUUACCGAGGUAUAGAUAAUU
rnacentral:rRNA from 1 species